GUUUGACCUCAAAUCAGUAGGAGUACCCGCUGAACUUAAGCAUAUCAAUAGCGGAGGAAA
rnacentral:rRNA from 1 species